UGUGCAUAUCGAGCUUUGCAUUAUAGGUGCUAGAUGAUAAAUGUAUUUACAUAUAUAUAUAUAUAUUCUUGCAUGCUAGUAGAGUAGUGUAAAGUUGAAUUGCUUAAAUACUUGUACCUAGUAUGCAUGUGAUUGGGACAUAGUGUUGUGAAACCUAUAAUGACAAGAUUAAUGUGGAUAGAUCUAGUUGAAUGAACACCUAGUCAUUGUGUACAAUUAGAGUAUUGAGAACGAGUGGCAUCUAGAUAAGUAAAUAAUAUGACGAUGGCAUCGAAUUUAGUGUAGUUGACACUUAUAGCAUUGAACAUAGGGAAUAGGUGCAUUUCCCUAGUUUGUGGCAUAUUGCAUGAAAUGGCAUAUUGCAUGUGAAUCUGGUGUAGUUGACACAUGAAUUGAGUAUAGGGAUUAGUUGAGUUUCCCUAGUCAUGGUAUAUUGCAUGGGUGAAUUCCCUAGUUGUGAUCAAUAGAGAACCUAAAGGUCAUGUUGUUAACCCUAGAUGAUAGGGGUGUUCCCAGUUGAUGACAUUAUCCUUAGUUGAUAGGAUGUUCCCAGUUCAUGAGAUUGGAUCGAGCUCACUUAGCCUGUCUGCACCUGUGGAGGAGAUCCUCACAGGUAGUGCACUCCGGAGUUUGGCACGCGAGGGGCCAGUGUAGUUGCCUCUUUGGACCAGUGUAGUGUCCGCAGGCGGUCUCGGGGUAGGUGAAUAGCUAGCCACCUCCCUACGAGACUUACAGACGUGAGACUGUGAGCGAGCCUCGCGAGUUCGCCGAGAGAUUGGGUAACCUGAUAGAGUUACAUUGUGUAUAAUAGCCUGGCACUUAGCCUU
rnacentral:lncRNA from 1 species